UGGGACUAAAUAAUCUGGUCUGACAGCAGGGAGACACAGGGUUCACAAGAGAGGAGCUCUGGUUUGUGCUUUAUAGCAGAGGUGCAGGAGAUGUGGGCACUACCACCCUUGAUGUACACAGGUUCCAUCAUUUGCUGACUUUUAUGUGAUUGAUGUGAGGUUUAAUCAUAAGAUCCUUCAGGAAGGCUAAAAGAAAAGCCUGGCAGAAGAGCACAGCAGCCUCCUACCAGCUCCAGAGUUGUACUGCCCAGCUCAGCCCUCCCCUGUUACACCACCUACUCCUGCCCUAAAGGCAGUCAUCCCAGCACUUGGAAAAACUGCACAGAAACGUCCUGUUUGAAUAAGGAUAUAGUACACUGUGAUCCUUCUGGUGGAAACAAGCAGAUUUCUUUCUUCAGGGUCCAUGGGGUUUUUGUGGAGCUGGAAGAAAUACGAUUUCCCUGCUGCAAGGUUUGCGCACAGCGCAUUGAACAACGUGCACUCCAGAUUUAUUUGAAAAUCACCCCUUCAGAAGCCAAGCUCUGAGAUCCCUUUGGAGAUCCUCAUAUGGACUUUGGCAGGAGUUGAGAGAAAAAGUGGUUCAGAAGAGGAGGUCUACCAGGGCCAGGGGGAGUCAGAGAGGGCAGGGGGACAAGAAAGGAGGUGGUGUAGGAGCAGAGGAGAGGAGAGGAGGAACAGGAGGUCAGAGAGUGCUGAGGAGCAUCUCUCCGGUCUGUCGGCUUUGAAGCAGUUUGCAACACAGGGAACAUGCACGAGGCACAAAAAAGAAACCAGAGGGAGUCGCAAAAGCUGCACAUAAGGAUUCCCUCCAGGAGAAGGGAGGGGAACAGCACAGAGGAGUUGCCUAGAUAGUCUGAAAGGCAUCAGAGGAACAGGGGGAAAGCACCAAAUUCUGCGAUUUCUGCUCAGUUACUCCCAAUAAUGUUCCAGAGAACAUCAUUAUUCCUAUGUGCAAAUGGAAGAAAUGUUUUCUUAAAUAUCUGCUGCUCUGCUCAAUGUCUUAUACAGCUGGUGACACAAAUACAUGUCAGCCUCAUGAAACAGGUGACACUGGGAAAAAGUGGCCACGGGCUUUGGGUUUUCCACAGGUUCAGAUGAGUUCUGAGUAAACCCUAUGGGAAGGCUGCAGGUGAUGGCUCGAAGCAGAUCCCCAGGGACAGAAGACCAGAGCUCAUGCCCUCAGCCUCAUCUUCAUGCAUGAAACCAAAGACAGCAUGAAAAGAGACACCAGAAUGCACAUCUUCUGAAGUCCCUCUGUUGAAGCCCUUUGUUGGUGUUGAGGCAUCAGUGGCUCCGCAGCAAGCAGGCUUGUUCAGCAGCAGGGAGCCAGCUCAGUAGGAAGUCAGGGUAGGGAUUCUCCUUUUCCAGACACUUUUCAGACACUAAGCCAUUGUAGGCUUUCCUCCAGUCUCUGUAUAUUUUGAAUCAAGGCCACAGGAGAUAAAUGCAGAUGUUUCAAAAGCUUUUCAUAGCAUUCUGCUGUAUUUCAUAGAGCUAGUUCAUGUAGUUCAAUGGUGUCCAGCCA
rnacentral:lncRNA from 1 species